CGAUGUAUUGGCUAUUCAUAGUGAAGCUACUUAGUUUGAUUGUACAUUCCUUUGGUCCUUAGCCAUUCGGGUCCUUAUUGUGUAUGUUGGCUAUUGGAGGUUCAAGUUCGCUGUUUGGAGUAGGAUGCACCUAGAUGGAAUCUAUCAAUCUUGAUAUAAAAGGAGUAGCCCUAUACGAUUCGCAAGACUGAGUUCAGUAAGCCUCUAGCCAGAGCAAAAGUGAAUAC
rnacentral:lncRNA from 1 species